GAAUAUUGGACAAUGGGCGCAAGCCUGAUCCAGCAAUGCCGCGUGAGUGAUGAAGGCCUUCGGGUUGUAAAGCUCUUUCGCACGCGACGAUGAUGACGGUAGCGUGAGAAGAAGCCCCGGCUAACUUCGUGCCAGCAGCCGCGGUAAUACGGGGGGAGCAAGCGUUGUUCGGAUUUACUGGGCGUAAAGGGCGCGUAGGCGGCCACCGCAAGUCGACUGUGAAAUCUCCGGGCUUAACCCGGAAAGGUCAGCCGAUACUGCGGGGCUAGAGUGCAGAAGGGGCAACUGGAAUUCUCGGUGUAGCGGUGAAAUGCGUAGAUAUCGAGAGGAACACCUGCGGCGAAGGCGGGUUGCUGGGCUGACACUGACGCUGAGGCGCGAAAGCUAGGGGAGCGAACGGG
rnacentral:rRNA from 1 species